rnacentral:rRNA from 1 species
UACGUAGGUGGCAAGCGUUGUCCGGAUUUACUGGGCGUAAAGAGCGCGCAGGCGGUCGUUCAAGUCGCGUGUGAAAGCCCCCGGCUCAACUGGGGAGGGUCACGCGAUACUGAUCGACUCGAAGGCAGGAGAGGGAAGUGGAAUUCCCGGUGUAGCGGUGAAAUGCGUAGAUAUCUGGAGGAACACCGGUGGCGAAGGCGGCAUCCUGGACCGGCAUUGACGCUGAGGCGCGAAAGCCAGGGGAGCAAACGGG